rnacentral:lncRNA from 1 species
GCAUCUGAAGAACUCCGACCAGUCAAAACAGCUGCCACUGAACACUAAGCUGUAGUUAAAAGCCAUUGCUCUGGAACCCGCUCAGUAAGCCUAGUGUGAAGAGUCAGUCACCUUGCUCUAUCUAUCUGUGAUACGAGUAAAAAGUUACUCGCUUCGGAUAUACCGGUGGACAUCCAGGGGCAUGGCCUAGUUACUUUGCUACAUCCUUAUCGUUGUUCCUUACCUGUGCCCUCAGGGAUUUGGGUGUUACCUUAUAUCUACCUAGGAGGUCUAUGGGAGUGGAGGAGCUGUCCAGACGCUGGUGAAGAGAAGAGAAGGGCGCCACGGGAAAUCAAGCAGUUAAGGAAGGACUUAGGAUUAGUCAGGAGGCUGGUGGAAGUUCUGGGAAAGGACGGAAGAGCCCUUGCCCCCCCCUCCCCUGGUGAUUACUUACCAAAGACCUCCAGAGUUCUCAGGCCCAGUCCCCUCCUGUCAAGAGACGAAAAUCAAAGUUUUAGAUUCCCCUUUUCUCCUUUCCUAGAUUACCUUUUUAAAUAAUUUAAAUAAAGUUGUUUUAAAUUCCCUUAACUUAUCUUGUGUGUCUGGUCCUUGGGGUGAUCUUGGGACCUCCUCGAGGUGGAAGUCGGGAAGGGGCGUGACUCGCAACACCUGUGGUCCGCUCCGACCUGUGACAUAAACAUUUAAUGAACACUGCCACACAUGCAGAUGAGCUUAUGAAAAACUGUUUGGCAGAAGAAGCAAACUGCCCAUUCUUGCCAAAGGUUUGCUGCAGGUUCACUGCUAACACUUUCUGAAUGCUGCUGGCAGACAAUCAAAUCUACCAAUUAUUCCCUACAUGUUUGUCUUAACAAGAUUUUUCUUUUUUUUUACCACUGGUCAAAUACACAGAACAUCAUGUAUGUCGCUUUCCCUCUUUCUCUGUGGUCCGAUGAAUGUGUGAGAAAGCCACUGAUGAUUAUGUUUGCCUCAAUUUCACAGUGAGCUGAAAUUUGCUUAGUGCUGACGUCAUAGUGUAAAAUGGCGCAUUGUUCAUUAGAAAACCUCUGGAGGUUUGAAUGCUUCAAUAAUGAAUUUAUCUUCUUCUUGCUCCCUAGCUUUUCCUUUUUAUCCUUUUCUCCUCCUACCUUCUCCAUUUCUCUGCUUCUCUUUUAAUCACCUUCAAAUUCAGAGAAACAGUAUUGGCAGGAGAAUCAAAAUGCAAC